rnacentral:rRNA from 1 species
CGGACGGGUGAGUAAUGUCUGGGAAACUGCCUGAUGGAGGGGGGUAACUACUGGAAACGGUAGCUAAUACCGCAUAACGUCGCAAGACCAAAGAGGGGGACCUUCGGGCCUCUUGCCAUCGGAUGUGCCCAGAUGGGAUUAGCUAGUAGGUGGGGUAAAGGCUCACCUAGGCGACAAUCCCUAGCUGGUCUGAGAGGAUGACCAGCCACACUGGAACUGAGACACGGUCCAG